rnacentral:snoRNA from 1 species
CCUGCCCCUAGAGGCAUUGCAGGUGUGGCUGCUGUGCCACAUGUGUAUCAGUAGGUGGCAGAAAGGAGAGAUGUUGUAUCUAUGCUCAGAAUUAUGACUUAUGAACAUCUGAAAAAAGCAAGCCUGAGAUG